UUCUGCUUCCUGGAAUCCAGGCUGGCUUGGUGACUUGCCGACCACAGAACGCUGUGGAAGGGACAUUCUGGGGCUUCCCAUCUCCAACAUAAGAAGGUAAGAAGGCUGCAGCUUCCACCGGGCCUCUUGGGCUGUGUACUCUUGACACUCUUGCUCUGAGAACUAAGCAGGCAUAUUUCAUAUCAAAAUAGUAAAGAACUUCCUUUCCAAAGGCAGGACUUGCUUCUGUGAGGUACUGAGCCACCCGUCCCUGGAGGAAAGCAAGAACAGAGCAGAUCAGAGCCCAGGCAGACAUCUUGGAUGAUGGGUGAGAUCUUCCUGGGGUUCUUGCUGUACCUGCUGACAAGGGGCAGCUCUCUCUAAAUGCCACGGAGCUGGAAGGCUGCAGCCUGGAACUUGCUGCAGCCCACCCAGGCAAGCAAGAGAUGACAUAGUUUCAGCACCUGGAUCUAUGGCACCCAGAAGCCAGAUCCAACCCCCCAGCCCUUAUCUUUGACCUUGAGCCAGUCUGAACUGGUAACUGGAAGUCACUUAUCUACCAGAUUCAACUAUCAGGAUGUUACUAAUAAAAAAUGACUCCAAAAAUGAAAAUGUGUUUCACAAUAUUUUCAUGCAAAGACUUCGGGAUCUAUUUAUACUCGAC
rnacentral:lncRNA from 1 species